UACGGGGGGGGCAAGCGUUGUUCGGAAUUACUGGGCGUAAAGGGCUCGUAGGCGGCCAACUAAGUCAGACGUGAAAUCCCUCGGCUUAACCGGGGAACUGCGUCUGAUACUGGAUGGCUUGAUUCCGGGAGAGGGAUGCGGAAUUCCAGGUGUAGCGGUGAAAUGCGUAGAUAUCGUAAGGAAGACCAGUGGCGAAGGCGGGUCUCUGGACAGUUCCUGACGCUGAGGCACGAAGGCCAGGGGAGCAAACGGG
rnacentral:rRNA from 1 species